rnacentral:rRNA from 1 species
ACUCCUACGGGAGGCAGCAGUAGGGAAUCUUCCACAAUGGGCGCAAGCCUGAUGGAGCAACACCGCGUGAGUGAAGAAGGGUUUCGGCUCGUAAAGCUCUGUUGUUAAAGAAGAACACGUAUGAGAGUAACUGUUCAUACGUUGACGGUAUUUAACCAGAAAGUCACGGCUAACUACGUGCCAGCAGCCGCGGUAAUACGUAGGUGGCAAGCGUUAUCCGGAUUUAUUGGGCGUAAAGAGAGUGCAGGCGGUUUUCUAAGUCUGAUGUGGAAGCCUUCGGCUUAACCGGAGAAGUGCAUCGGAAACUGGAUAACUUGAGUGCAGAAGAGGGUAGUGGAACUCCAUGUGUAGCGGUGGAAUGCGUAGAUAUAUGGAAGAACACCAGUGGCGAAGGCGGCUACCUGGUCUGCAACUGACGCUGAGACUCGAAAGCAUGGGUAGCGAACAGGAUUAGAUACCCUGGUAGGAUACCG